rnacentral:rRNA from 1 species
CGGCGGACGGGUGAGUAAUGUCUGGGAAACUGCCCGAUGGAGGGGGAUAACUACUGGAAACGGUAGCUAAUACCGCAUAACGUCGCAAGACCAAAGAGGGGGCCUUCGGGCCUCUUGCCAUCGGAUGUGCCCAGAUGGGAUUAGCUAGUAGGUGGGGUAACGGCUCACCUAGGCGACGAUCCCUAGCUGGUCUGAGAGGAUGACCAGCCACACUGGAACUGAGACACGGUCCAG